rnacentral:rRNA from 1 species
CUUAGCGGCGGACGGGUGAGUAACACGUAGGCAACCUGCCUGUAAGACUGGGAUAACUACCGGAAACGGUAGCUAAGACCGGAUACACGAUUUGAUCGCAUGAUCGAAUUGGGAAAAGCGGAGCAAUCUGCUACUUACAGAUGGGCCUGCGGCGCAUUAGCUAGUUGGUGGGGUAACGGCUCACCAAGGCGACGAUGCGUAGCCGACCUGAGAGGGUGAACGGCCACACUGGGACUGAGACACGGCCCAGACUCCUACGGGAGGCAGCAGUAGGGAAUCUUCCGCAAUGGACGCAAGUCUGACGGAGCAACGCCGCGUGAGUGAUGAAGGUUUUCGGAUCGUAAAGCUCUGUUGCCAGGGAAGAACGCUAUGGAGAGUAACUGCUCUGUAGGUGACGGUACCUGAGAAGAAAGCCCCGGCUAACUACGUGCCAGCAGCCGCGGUAAUACGUAGGGGGCAAGCGUUGUCCGGAAUUAUUGGGCGUAAAGCGCGCGCAGGCGGCUUUGUAAGUCUGGUGUUUAAACCUAGGGCUCAACCCUGGGUCGCAUUGGAAACUGCAAGGCUUGAGUGCAGAAGAGGAGAGUGGAAUUCCACGUGUAGCGGUGAAAUGCGUAGAGAUGUGGAGGAACACCAGUGGCGAAGGCGACUCUCUGGGCUGUAACUGACGCU